GAUGAACGUUGGCGGCGUGCUUAACACAUGCAAGUCGAACGGUGAACACGGAGCUUGCUCUGUGGGAUCAGUGGCGAACGGGUGAGUAACACGUGAGCAACCUGCCCCUGACUCUGGGAUAAGCGCUGGAAACGGCGUCUAAUACUGGAUAUGUGACGUGACCGCAUGGUCUGCGUUUGGAAAGAUUUUUCGGUUGGGGAUGGGCUCGCGGCCUAUCAGCUUGUUGGUGAGGUAAUGGCUCACCAAGGCGUCGACGGGUAGCCGGCCUGAGAGGGUGACCGGCCACACUGGGAUUGAGACACGGCCCAGACUCCUACGGGAGGCAGCAGUGGGGAAUAUUGCACAAUGGGCGAAAGCCUGAUGCAGCAACGCCGCGUGAGGGAUGACGGCCUUCGGGUUGUAAACCUUUUUUAGCAGGGAAGAAGCGAAAGUGACGGUACCUGCAGAAAAAGCGCCGGCUAACUACGUG
rnacentral:rRNA from 1 species